CUCCCGGUAUCUCUACGUAUCGCUGCGCAUUGAGGUCACUGGUGUCGAAACGGGGACACGCAUGCGACGAAAUUACAUUUUCUCGCUGUCAUGGAACAAGAGAAUAUAGAGAGGAAAAUGGAAAUUCCUAGAUGGCGCUAGAUUCGUUCUCAGCUCGUCCAUGUCGAAUUUGUUUACGUGAAUAAAUUCAUCGAUAUUUACUGUCGGAUGACAAAACUUGCAAUUAUGGUGUGACGCCGACAAUGGUGAACAUGCCCUGUGUGGAGAGCGGACCGUGUGGAGACAAAUAUCAAACAUCGAAGAGAAAAAGAAUUAGGGGGCCAUUAACCUCAAAGAAGAAGAAGAUCAAGAACUGAAAUUCAAGUACAGAGAACAUGGCUAAGGAACAAUUGAAUCAUGGAACCAUGAUUUUAGAGAGCAGCUGGAAGAAAGAGAACGGACAGAAAAGGAUAAAGGGUCGAGUCAUGUACUUGUAAUUGAACCCUCUGGAGAAUGAAUUGCAUCUAGUGCAAAAAGACAGAAACUAGAUCAAGUUUCCAUAACUAGUUUGGAUGCAGAUGAUCCACUUGAUGGAUCAGACUUUCAUAGUCACAAGGAUGAGUCUUGGCUGAACUUUAGAUUAUUAAAAAGGUGCGAGCAGCAGAGCAAGCUAAAAAAGUAAACUUUGCAUUCUUUGGAAAUGGAAGAGAAAAGAAUUUAUAUGAAGAACAUCCCCCUCGCAAAUCCAUGGCUAAAUUAUUCUGUGCAGAGUGGCAGGACAGAUGCGAGGAGAUGAAAGCGAUGGAAUGAUAUAAACAAUUGCGUACGUUCUGAGCUGAAAAAGAAGCGCAAUGUAUUUAUCAACAAUGGGAAUAUCAUUCUAUAUUUAUGACGAAAUAUGUUAAGUAAUUUAUUAUUACAUUUAUAAUUUAUUAUUACAUUAAUAAAUUAUAUUACUACGUAAAUAAUUUUUCCCAUUAUCGAUUAAAGAAGCAUCUCUUCCAAAUCCAUAUUACUGAGUUUAAUUGACAGUUAAUCAAAUUGUGAUCAGAUCAAAUUUCUCGUAUGUAAUUCCUCAUCAUUGUCGCCAAGAAAACUGUUAGAAAGUUUAUUCCAACUGUACGUAUGAGCAAUUGACACAAAA
rnacentral:lncRNA from 1 species